rnacentral:tRNA from 1 species
GCGGGGGUUCCGGAGUGGUCAAACGGGCAGGACUUAAGAAGUCUGUCGUUCGUUAGAACGAUCUAAAACAGGAUUAGGAUAUCCUGUGGCUUAGUGCCUUCGUAGGUUCGAAUCCUACCCCCCGCA